GGAUGAGGUUGUUUCACGUAGCUGUGUGUUAGCACAAGAUGGUGCCCCAUCGAGGUUGCCUAUUGCUCAUAUGGUGUGCAAUCAAACACCGCCAGUUGGAGAAAAACCUAGUUUAAUGACAUUUCGUGAGGUAGAGACAGUAUUCCAUGAAUUUGGUCAUGCACUCCAGCAUAUGUUGACAAAACAAGAUGAAGGUUUAGUUGCUGGUAUUCGUGGGAUAGAAUGGGAUGCUGUUGAAUUGCCAUCUCAGUUCAUGGAAAACUGGUGUUAUCACAGAGAUACUUUGAUGGGCAUUGCGAAGCACUAUGAAACGGGUGAAAGUCUCCCUGAAGAAGUGUUCUUGAAACUACUUGCAGCAAGGACAUUUCGUGCAGGUUCCCUGAGUCUCCGUCAGCUUAGGUUUGCAAGUGUUGAUUUGGAGCUUCACACUAAAUAUGUUCCUGGCGAGCCAGAGUUAAUCUUUGCGGUUGACCAAAGAGUGUGCAAACAAACACAAGUGAUACCUCCUUUAGCAGAUGAUAAAUUCCUAUGUAGUUUCAGCCAUAUUUUU
rnacentral:misc_RNA from 1 species